rnacentral:rRNA from 1 species
CCUACGGGAGGCAGCAGUGGGGAAUAUUGCACAAUGGGGGAAACCCUGAUGCAGCGAUGCCGCGUGGAGGAAGAAGGUUUUCGGAUUGUAAACUCCUGUUGAAGAGGACGAUAAUGACGGUACUCUUUUAGAAAGCUCCGGCUAACUACGUGCCAGCAGC